CAUUAUGUUUUCUUUCGCUGGGUGUUGUGUUUCCUCUGGCACCCCUAAGAUGCUGUCGUGACAUAUUUAUAAAGUUCAAUUAUCAUAAAAUGCAAAUGAAAUCGUCAUGGCCCAGGAAACGUCAACCUUCCCCCACCAAUAUGGCCUUACCUCCAAUAAAACAAACCGAAGAGACGCCAACCUUAGGCCCCUGGACAUGACCCAAACUGAGCAAUUUGCUUGCGACAUCCGCCAAAACAGAGACUUUCCUGUGACCUGAGGUGGAGCUCCUGAAGAGUAGAAUGCCAAUGUCAGGGCGCGACCUCUGGUUGGGGUUUGCUACUCUACUCCGGCUAAAUUUUAUCUGACGACUAACGCUAUUAAAAGAAAUUACGCUCAAAACUAAAUUGCGUCCUUGUUUAAAAGUGCUCACUUAGAAAAAAAGGGGCUUAAAAUCAAAAAGAGGAAAAGAUGUAUACCCGAUACUUGGCAAGUGGGAGUGCAAGAAAUAUUUUUGGCCAAAUAAGGAAAAUUUCCAUUGGAUUUGUAGUCGUUAGAAAUUUACAAAACUUAUACAAAAAUCUAAACAU
ensembl:ncRNA lncRNA:CR46202 long non-coding RNA:CR46202